GUCGAGCGGAAUGACGAGAGCUUGCUCUCUGAUUUUAGCGGCGGACGGGUGAGUAACACGUGGGCAACCUGCCCUACAGAUGGGGAUAACUCCGGGAAACCGGGGCUAAUACCGAAUAAUCAGUUUGUCCGCAUGGACAAACUCUGAAAGACGGUUUCGGCUGUCACUGUAGGAUGGGCCCGCGGCGCAUUAGCUAGUUGGUGGGGUAAUGGCCUACCAAGGCAACGACGCGUAGCCGACCUGAGAGGGUGAUCGGCCACACUGGGACUGAGACACGGCCCAGACUCCUACGGGAGGCAGCAGUAGGGAAUCUUCCACAAUGGACGAAAGUCUGAUGGAGCAAUGCCGCGUGAGCGAAGAAGGUUUUCGGAUCGUAAAGCUCUGUUGUAAGGGAAGAACACGUACGGGAGUAACUGCCCGUGCCAUGACGGUACCUUAUUAGAAAGCCACGGCUAACUACGUGCCAGCAGCCGCGGUAAUACGUAGGUGGCAAGCGUUGUCCGGAAUUAUUGGGCGUAAAGCGCGCGCAGGCGGUUCUUUAAGUCUGAUGUGAAAGCCCACGGCUCAACCGUGGAGGGUCAUUGGAAACUGGAGAACUUGAGUACAGAAGAGGAAAGCGGAAUUCCACGUGUAGCGGUGAAAUGCGUA
rnacentral:rRNA from 1 species